CAGUGCCGCGGUAAUACGGAGGGUGCAAGCGUUAAUCGGAAUUACUGGGCGUAAAGCGUGCGUAGGCGGUUCGUUAAGUCUGUUGUGAAAGCCCCGGGCUCAACCUGGGAAUGGCAAUGGAUACUGGCGAGCUAGAGUGUGUCAGAGGAUGGUGGAAUUCCCGGUGUAGCGGUGAAAUGCGUAGAGAUCGGGAGGAACAUCAGUGGCGAAGGCGGCCAUCUGGGACAACACUGACGCUGAGGCACGAAAGCGUGGGGAGCAAACAGGAUUAGAUACCCGAGUAGUCCCUGUCUCUUAUACA
rnacentral:rRNA from 1 species